rnacentral:rRNA from 1 species
UACGAAGGGGGCUAGCGUUGUUCGGAAUUACUGGGCGUAAAGUGUGCGCAGGCGGCCGCGCAAGUCGAGUGUGAAAGCCCCGGGCUUAACUUGGGAAUUGCGCUCGAAACUACGUGGCUGGAGUGUGGCAGAGGAAGGUGGAAUUCCAGGUGUAGCGGUGAAAUGCGUAGAGAUCUGGAGGAACACCGAUGGCGAAGGCAGCCUUCUGGGCCAACACUGACGCUCAUGCACGAAAGCGUGGGGAGCAAACAGG